UACGGAGGGUGCGAGCGUUAAUCGGAAUUACUGGGCGUAAAGCGCACGCAGGCGGUUUGUUAAGCUAGAUGUGAAAGCCCCGGGCUCAACCUGGGAUGGUCAUUUAGAACUGGCAGACUAGAGUCUUGGAGAGGGGAGUGGAAUUCCAGGUGUAGCGGUGAAAUGCGUAGAUAUCUGGAGGAACAUCAGUGGCGAAGGCGACUCCCUGGCCAAAGACUGACGCUCAUGUGCAAAAGUGUGGGUAGCGAACAGG
rnacentral:rRNA from 1 species